UCACAGAAGCCACACCUCAUGCUAAGAAGUCCUCACUCCAAGUUGGGUCAGAAAACAAAAAACCUCACCACGGAGCACUCACAGCCACUCUGCCUGAAGAACUGCCACCUGCCUUUGAAAACCUCCUCCUUUGGAACUCCUCGCCUCUGGAAAAUCUCUGAUGUCCAAAACCAAACUCCACCUGUAAAUAAAACUGCACUUACCUUUU